UACGGAGGGAGCUAGCGUUAUUCGGAAUUACUGGGCGUAAAGCGCACGUAGGCGGCUUUGUAAGUUAGAGGUGAAAGCCUGGAGCUCAACUCCAGAAUUGCCUUUAAGACUGCAUCGCUUGAAUCCAGGAGAGGUGAGUGGAAUUCCGAGUGUAGAGGUGAAAUUCGUAGAUAUUCGGAAGAACACCAGUGGCGAAGGCGGCUCACUGGACUGGUAUUGACGCUGAGGUGCGAAAGCGUGGGGAGCAAACAGGAUUAGAUACUCUGGUAGUCCACGCCGUAAACGAUGAUAACUAGCUGUCGGGGCUCUUAGAGCUUCGGUGGCGCAGCUAACGCAUUAAGUUAUCCGCCUGGGGAGUACGGCCGCAAGGUUAAAACUCAA
rnacentral:rRNA from 1 species